CAAUUCCCUGUCUCUGCUGUCUCAGACAUAGUGAAGGAAGAAACUAACAAUAACCUCCAAGAAGUAAAGUAUGAAGCACAGCGCUGUCAAGAACUGACCCUAACUCUCUGUGAAGGAAUAAGGAACCGUGUGAAGGAGCUUCUGAUCCCCAGAUAUAAAACUGUUGUCCUGGUCCACAUCGGCCAGCUCAAUGGGCAGGGGAUGCAAAUCAGCAGCCGCUGUCUGUGGGAUCCAUCCUCUGACACCUUUACAUCUUACUCCUUCAAGAACAGUUCUCUGUUCUGCAGUGCGACUGUGUUCGGUGUCUACUUUGAGUAACUCAUAGGUCAGGUUUUAGGUAUGUUUUUCUGUUGGUGAAAUCUUCCUUAUUAAACAAGAACUUUGGACAAACAUU